ACACAUGCAGUCGAGCGGCAGCGACAACAUUGAACCUUCGGGGGAUUUGUUGGGCGGCGAGCGGCGGACGGGUGAGUAAUGCCUGGGAAAUUGCCCUGAUGUGGGGGAUAACCAUUGGAAACGAUGGCUAAUACCGCAUGAUAGCUUCGGCUCAAAGAGGGGGACCUUCGGGCCUCUCGCGUCAGGAUAUGCCCAGGUGGGAUUAGCUAGUUGGUGAGGUAAGGGCUCACCAAGACGACGAUCCCUAGCUGGUCUGAGAGGAUGAUCAGCCACACUGGAACCGAGACACGGUCCAGACUCCUACGGGAGGCAGCAGUGGGGAAUAUUGCACAAUGGGCGCAAGCCUGAUGCAGCCAUGCCGCGUGUAUGAAGAAGGCCUUCGGGUUGUAAAGUACUUUCAGCAGUGAGGAAGAAGGUAUCGUUAAUAGCGGUAUCUUUUGACGUUAGCUGCAGAAGAAGCACCGGCUAACUCCGUGCCAGCAGCCGCGGUAAUACGGAGGGUGCGAGCGUUAAUCGGAAUUACUGGGCGUAAAGCGCAUGCAGGUGGUUUGUUAAGUCAGAUGUGAAAGCCCGGGGCUCAACCUCGGAAUUGCAUUUGAAACUGGCAGGCUAGAGUACUGUAGAGGGGGGUAGAAUUUCAUGUGUAGCGGUGAAAUGCGUA
rnacentral:rRNA from 1 species